AGGACGAACGCUGGCGGCGUGCUUAACACAUGCAAGUCGAGCGGAAAGGCCCUUCGGGGUACUCGAGCGGCGAACGGGUGAGUAACACGUGAGCAACCUGCCCUUAGCUUCGGGAUAGCUCCGGGAAACCGGAAUUAAUACCGGAUAUGACUAUGGCCGACAUCAGCCAUGGUGGAAAGUUUUUCGGCUAGGGAUGGACUCGCGGCCUAUCAGCUAGUUGGUGAGGUAACGGCUCACCAAGGCGACGACGGGUA
rnacentral:rRNA from 1 species